UACGAAGGGGGCUAGCGUUGUUCGGAUUUACUGGGCGUAAAGCGCACGUAGGCGGAUCGUUAAGUCGGGGGUGAAAUCCUGGAGCUCAACUCCAGAACUGCCUUCGAUACUGGCGAUCUUGAGUCCGGAAGAGGUGAGUGGAACUCCUAGUGUAGAGGUGGAAUUCGUAGAUAUUAGGAAGAACACCAGUGGCGAAGGCGGACUCACUGGUCCGGUACUGGACGCUGAGGUGCGAAAGCGUGGGGAGCAACAG
rnacentral:rRNA from 1 species